AUUGAACGCUGGCGGCAGGCCUAACACAUGCAAGUCGAACGAGUGGCGGACGGGUGAGUAAUGUCUGGGCAACUGCCUGAUGGCGGGGGAUACCUACUGGAAACGGUAGCUACUACCGCAUACCAUCGGAUGUGCCCAGAUGGGCUUAGCUAGUAGGUGGGGUAAAGGCUCACCUAGGCGACGAUCCCUAGCUGGUCUUAGAGGAUGACCAGCCACACUGGAACUGAGCCACGGUCCAGACUCCUACGGGAGGCAGCAGUGGGGAAUAUUGGACAAUGGGCGAAAGCCUGAUCCAGCCAUGCCGCGUGUGUGAAGAAGGUAUUCGGAUUGUAAAGCACUUAAAGUUGGGAGGCGUUACCAACAGAAUAAGCACCGGCUAACUUCGUGCCAGCAGCCGCGGUAAUUC
rnacentral:rRNA from 1 species